rnacentral:tRNA from 1 species
GAGGAUGUAGCUCAGUAGUAGAGCACUUGCCUAGCAUGCAUGAUGCCUUGGGUUUGAUUCCCUCACAUACCA